GUGAACGCUGGCGGUAGGCCUAACACCUGCAAGUCGAACGGCAGCACAGUAAGAGCUUGCUCUUACGGGUGGCGAGUGGCGGACGGGUGAGGAAUACAUCGGAAUCUACUUUUUCGUGGGGGAUAACGUAGGGAAACUUACGCUAAUACCGCAUACGACCUACGGGUGAAAGCAGGGAAUCUUCGGACCUUGCGCGAUUGAAUGAGCCGAUGUCGGAUUAGCUAGUUGGCGGGGUAAAGGCCCACCAAGGCGACGAUCCGUAGCUGGUCUGAGAGGAUGAUCAGCCACACUGGAACUGAGACACGGUCCAGACUCCUACGGGAGGCAGCAGUGGGGAAUAUUGGACAAUGGGCGCAAGCCUGAUCCAGCCAUACCGCGUGGGUGAAGAAGGCCUUCGGGUUGUAAAGCCCUUUUGUUGGGAAAGAAAAGCAGCAGGUUAAUACCCCGCUGUUCUGACGGUACCCAAAGAAUAAGCACCGGCUAACUUCGUG
rnacentral:rRNA from 1 species